CCUACGGGAUGCAGCAGUGAGGAAUAUUGGUCAAUGGGCGCGAGCCUGAACCAGCCAAGUCGCGUGAGGGAGGACGGCCCUACGGGUUGUAAACCUCUUUUGCCGGGGAGCAACGGGCGUCACGUGUGGCGCCACUGAGAGUACCCGGAGAAAAAGCAUCGGCUAACUCCGUGCCAGCAGCCGCGGUAAUACGGGGGAUGCGAGCGUUAUCCGGAUUUAUUGGGUUUAAAGGGUGCGUAGGCGGAGCGUUAAGUCAUGGGUAAAAUUGAGGGGCUAAACCCCUUCCCGCCAUUGAAACUGGCGCUCUUGAGUGGAAGAGAAGUAUGCGGAAUGCGUGGUGUAGCGGUGAAAUGCAUAGAUAUCACGCAGAACCCCGAUUGCGAAGGCAGCAUGCCGGCUUCCGACUGACGCUGAAGCACGAAAGCGUGGGGAUCGAACAGGAUUAGAUACCCUAGUAGUC
rnacentral:rRNA from 1 species